rnacentral:rRNA from 1 species
UACGGAGGGGGCGAGUGUUGUUCGGAAUCACUGGGCGUAAAGGGCGCGUAGGCGGCCUGAUAAGUAGGGGGUGAAAUCCUGAGGCUUAACCUCAGGGCUGCCUUCUAAACUGUCGGGCUCGAGCACAGUAGAGGCAGGUGGAAUUCCCGGUGUAGCGGUGGAAUGCGUAGAGAUCGGGAAGAACAUCAGUGGCGAAGGCGGCCUGCUGGGCUGUUGCUGACGCUGAGGCGCGACAGCGUGGGGAGCAAACAGG